rnacentral:rRNA from 1 species
AGUACGGCGAGUGAAGCGGCAAAAGCUCAAAUUUGAAAUCUGGUACCUUCGGUGCCCGAGUUGUAAUUUGGAGAGGGCAACUUUGGGGCCGUUCCUUGUCUAUGUUCCUUGGAACAGGACGUCAUAGAGGGUGAGAAUCCCGUGUGGCGAGGAGUGCGGUUCUUUGUAAAGUGCCUUCGAAGAGUCGAGUUGUUUGGGAAUGCAGCUCUAAGUGGGUGGUAAAUUCCAUCUAAAGCUAAAUAUUGGCGAGAGACCGAUAGCGAACAAGUACAGUGAUGGAAAGAUGAAAAGAACUUUGAAAAGAGAGUGAAAAAGUACGUGAAAUUGUUGAAAGGGAAGGGCAUUUGAUCAGACAUGGUGUUUUGUGCCCUCUGCUCCUUGUGGGUAGGGGAAUCUCGCAUUUCACUGGGCCAGCAUCAGUUUUGGUGGCAGGAUAAAUCCAUAGGAAUGUAGCUUGCCUCGGUAAGUAUUAUAGCCUGUGGGAAUACUGCCAGCUGGGACUGAGGACUGCGACGUAAGUCAAGGAUGCUGGCAUAAUGGUUAUAUGCCGCCCGUCUUG